rnacentral:rRNA from 1 species
AGUGAACGCUGGCGGUAGGCCUAACACAUGCAAGUCGAACGGCAGCACAGUAAGAGCUUGCUCUUACGGGUGGCGAGUGGCGGACGGGUGAGGAAUACAUCGGAAUCUACUUUUUCGUGGGGGAUAACGUAGGGAAACUUACGCUAAUACCGCAUACGACCUACGGGUGAAAGCAGGGGAUCUUCGGACCUUGUGCGAUUGAAUGAGCCGAUGUCGGAUUAGCUAGUUGGCGGGGUAAAGGCCCACCAAGGCGACGAUCCGUAGCUGGUCUGAGAGGAUGAUCAGCCACACUGGUACUGAGACACGGUCCAGACUCCUACGGGAGGCAGCAGUGGGGAAUAUUGGACAAUGGGCGCAAGCCUGAUCCAGCCAUACCGCGGGGGGGAAGAAGGCCUUCGGGUUGUAGAGCCCUUUUGUUGGGAAAGAAAAGCAGCAGGUUAAUACCCCGCUGUUCUGACGGUACCCAAAGAAUAAGCACCGGCUAACUUCGUG